CCUACGGGAGGCAGCAGUGAGGAAUAUUGGUCAAUGGGCGCGAGCCUGAACCAGCCAAGUCGCGUGAGGGAAGACGGUCCUAUGGAUUGUAAACCUCUUUUGUCGGGGAGCAAUAGACGCCACGCGUGGCCUUCCGGGAGUACCCGACGAAAUAGCCUCGGCUAACUCCGUGCCCGCCGCCCCGGUAAUACGGAGGGUGCGAGAGUUAUCCGGAUUUAUUGGGUUUAAAGGGUGCGCAGGCGGAAGAUCAAGUCAGCGGUAAAAUUGAGAGGCUCAACCUCGUCGAGCCGUUGAAACUGGGUUUCUUGAGUGAGUGAGAAGUAUGCGGAAUGCGUGGUGUAGCGGUGAAAUGCAUAGAUAUCACGCAGAACUCCGAUUGCGAAGGCAGCAUACCGGCGCUCAACUGACGCUCAUGCACGAAAGUGUGGGUAUCGAACAGGAUUAGAUACCCUUGUAGUC
rnacentral:rRNA from 1 species